UACGGAGGGAGCUAGCGUUGUUCGGAAUUACUGGGCGUAAAGCGCACGUAGGCGGCUUUGUAAGUUAGAGGUGAAAGCCCGGGGCUCAACCCCGGAAUUGCCUUUAAGACUGCAUCGCUUGAAUCCGGGAGAGGUGAGUGGAAUUCCGAGUGUAGAGGUGAAAUUCGUAGAUAUUCGGAAGAACACCAGUGGCGAAAGGCGGCUCAC
rnacentral:rRNA from 1 species